rnacentral:rRNA from 1 species
AGAACGACUCUCGGCAACGGAUAUCUCGGCUCUCGCAUCGAUGAAGAACGUAGCGAAAUGCGAUACUUGGUGUGAAUUGCAGAAUCCCGUGAACCAUCGAGUCUUUGAACGCAAGUUGCGCCCGAAGCCUUCUGGCCGUGGGCACGUCUGUCUGGGCGUCA